UUCCGUAGGUGAACCUGCGGAAGGAUCAUUAACACGAAUAUCCAACUUACACCUUAACCUUAAACGUGGGGAGCUCUUCGGAGCGACCUAUCCUGAUUUCCAGGUCGCGUUCAGCGUGGCUCUGAGUCUUCGGGCGUUUAACCUUUUUUUUUCAACCACUUCUGUGAUUGAAAUUAAAUUCAUCUGUAUCACAACUUUUAACGGUGGAUGCCUCGGCUUGAGCAUCGAUGAAGGACGCAGCAAAAUGCGAUAAGCACUGCGAAUGGCAGAAUUUCGAGAAUCAAUAGAAUGCUGAACGCAUACUGCACUUUUGGGUCACUCCGAAAGUAUGCUUGCUUCAGGGCGUUUAUACUAUUAUGCAAUCUGAUACGCCAGCAAUGGCUUCAUGAUUCGCGUGUUUGUGUGUCAGCGUCUGUAAAGCGCUUCCGCGCCGCUGACACAUUAAAUUAAGUAGUUGGCUUCAACUAUUCAAGCUACCGCUUUGUGUUGAAUUUCGGUUCUCAUGAGUGGCACUUGAUCUGGAGCUGAUAAGACUGCUGAGUUUUGAUAAACCAUUUUCGCAUGAAGUCAAGCAGGGCUACCCGCUGAAUUUAAGCAUAUCA
rnacentral:rRNA from 1 species